rnacentral:tRNA from 1 species
ACGGAAGUGGCGGAAUAGGUAGACGCACCAGAUUUAGGUUCUGGCUAUUUUUAAAUAGUAUACGAGUUCAAGUCUCGUCUUCCGUA